CCUAGUUGCUCCUGCCAGUAGUGAUAUUCUUGUCUCAAAGAUUAAGCCAUGCAUGUCUAAGUAUGAACUAAUUCAGACUGUGAAACUGCGGAUGGCUCAUUAAAUCAGUUAUAGUUUUUUUUAUGGUACCAUACUACUCGGAUAACUAUAGUAAUUCUAGAGCUAAUACGUGCACCAAGUCUCGACUCUUUGGAAGGGAGGCAUUUUUUAGAUAAAAGGCCAGCGCGGGCUUGCCUGCUUCUCCGGUGAAUCAUGAUAACUCAACGGAUCGCACAACCCUUGUGCUAGCGAAGCUUCAUUCAAAUUUCUGCCCUAUCAACUUUUGAUGGUAGGAUAGAGGCCUACCAUGGUGGUGAUGGGUGAUGGAGAAUUAGGGUUCGAUUCCAGAGGAGGAGCCUGAGAAAUGGCUACCACAUCCAAGGAAGGCAGCAAGCGUGCAAAUUACCCAAUCCUGACAUGGGGAGGUAGUGACAAUAAAUAACAAUACUGGGCUCAUCGAGUUUGGUAAUUGGAAUGAGUACAAUAUAAAUCCCUUAACGAGGAUCCAUUGGAGGGCAAGUCUGGUGCUAGUAGCCACGGUAAUUCUAGCUCCAGUAGCGUGUAUUUAAGUUGUUGCAGUUAAAAAGCUCGUAGUUGGAUAUUGGGUCGUAAAGGUCGGUCCGCCUACUCGGUGUGCACCUGCCCUUCCAUCCCUUUUGUCGGUGGUGUUCUCCUGGUCUUAAUUGGCUGGGUCGUGGCUCCAGUGCUAUUACUUUGAAAAAAUUAGAGUGCUCAAAGCAAGCUUAUGCUCUGAAUACAUUAGCAUGGAAUAACGUGAUAGGAGUCUGGUCCUAUUGUGUUGGCCUUUGAGACUAGAGUAAUGAUUAAUAGGGACUGUCGGGGGCAUUCGUAUUUCAUUGUCAGAGGUGAAAUUCUUGGAUUUAUUAUAGACGGACCACUGCGAAAGCAUUUUCCAAGGAUUUUUUCAUUAAUCAAGAAUGAAAAUUGGGGGUUCGAAGACGAUCAGAUACCAUCCUAGUCUCAACCACAAACGAUGCCGACCAGGGAUCAGCAGAUGUUAGUUACUCUAAGGACUCUGCCAGCACCUUCUAAGAAAUCAGAGUGUUUGGGUUCCGAGGGGAGUAUGGUCGCAAGGCUAGAACUUAAAGGAAUUGAUGGAAGGGCACCACCAGGAGUGGAUCCUGUGGCUUAAUUUGACUCAACACGGGGAAACUUACCAGGUCUAGACAUAGUAAGUAUUGAUAGGUUGAGAGCUCUUUCUUGAUUCUAUGGGUGGUGGUGCAUGGCCGUUCUUAUUUGGUGGAGAAAUUUGUCUGGUUAGUUCUAAUAACAAACGAGACCUUAGCUUGCUAACUAGCUAUGCGGAGGUUCCCCUUCACAACCAACUUCUUAGAGGGACUAUGGCCGUUUAGGCCAUGGAAGUUUGAGGCAAUAACAGGUCUGUGAUGCCCUUAGAUGUUCUGUGCCGCACGCAUGCUGCACUGAUGCAGCCAAUGAGAUUUUCUUCCUGGAUUCAAGAGGAUCAGGAAAUAUUCUCAAAUUUCAUCGUGAUGGGGAUAGACCAUUGCAAUUAUUGGUCUUCAACGAGGAAUUCCUAGUAAGCGCGUGUCAUCAACUUGUGUUGACUACGUCCCUGGCCUUUGUACACACUGCCCAUCGCUCCUACCAAUUGAAUGAUCCGGUGAAGUGUUCGGAUUGCGUCGACGAUGGUGGUCCACCACCAUCGACAUCGUGAGAAGUUCAUUGAACCUUAUCAUUUAGAGGAAGGAGAAGUCGUAACAAGGUUACCGUAGGUGAACCCGCGGUAG
rnacentral:rRNA from 1 species